rnacentral:rRNA from 1 species
UACGGAGGGGGCUAGCGUUGUUCGGAAUUACUGGGCGUAAAGCGCGCGUAGGCGGACCUGCAAGUCGGGGGUGAAAGCCCGAGGCUCAACCUCGGAACUGCCUUCGAUACUGCGGGUCUCGAGUCCGGGAGAGGUGAGUGGAAUUCCGAGUGUAGAGGUGAAAUUCGUAGAUAUUCGGAGGAACACCAGUGGCGAAGGCGGCUCACUGGUCCGGAACUGACGCUGAGGUGCGAAAGCGUGGGGAGCAAACAGG